rnacentral:rRNA from 1 species
UCCUGGCUCAGAUUGAACGCUGGCGGCAUGCCUUACACAUGCAAGUCGAACGGCAGCACGGGAGCUUGCUCCUGGUGGCGAGUGGCGAACGGGUGAGUAAUACAUCGGAACGUACCCAGGAGUGGGGGAUAACGUAGCGAAAGUUACGCUAAUACCGCAUAUUCUGUGAGCAGGAAAGCGGGGGAUCGCAAGACCUCGCGCUCUUGGAGCGGCCGAUGUCGGAUUAGCUAGUUGGUGAGGUAAAAGCUCACCAAGGCGACGAUCCGUAGCAGGUCUGAGAGGAUGAUCUGCCACACUGGGACUGAGACACGGCCCAGACUCCUACGGGAGGCAGCAGUGGGGAAUUUUGGACAAUGGGGGCAACCCUGAUCCAGCCAUGCCGCGUGAGUGAAGAAGGCCUUCGGGUUGUAAAGCUCUUUCGGCGGGGAAGAAAUGGCAACGGCUAAUAUCCGUUGUUGAUGACGGUACCCGCAUAAGAAGCACCGGCUAACUACGUGCCAGCAGCCGCGGUAAUACGUAGGGUGCGAGCGUUAAUCGGAAUUACUGGGCGUAAAGCGUGCGCAGGCGGUUUCGUAAGACAGACGUGAAAUCCCCGGGCUC